rnacentral:rRNA from 1 species
AGAACGAACGCUGGCGGCAGGCUUAACACAUGCAAGUCGAGCGCCUCGCAAGAGGAGCGGCAGACGGGUGAGUAACACGUGGGAACGUGCCCAAAGGUACGGAACAACUCCGGGAAACUGGAGCUAAUACCGUAUGUGCCCGAAAGGGGAAAGAUUUAUCGCCUUUGGAUCGGCCCGCGUCUGAUUAGCUAGUUGGUGGGGUAAUGGCCUACCAAGGCGACGAUCAGUAGCU